ACGAACGCUGGCGGCGUGCCUAAUACAUGCAAGUCGAACGCUUCUUUUUCCACCGGAGCUUGCUCCACCGGAAAAAGAGGAGUGGCGAACGGGUGAGUAACACGUGGGUAACCUGCCCAUCAGAAGGGGAUAACACUUGGAAACAGGUGCUAAUACCGUAUAACAAUCGAAACCGCAUGGUUUUGAUUUGAAAGGCGCUUUCGGGUGUCGCUGAUGGAUGGACCCGCGGUGCAUUAGCUAGUUGGUGAGGUAACGGCUCACCAAGGCCACGAUGCAUAGCCGACCUGAGAGGGUGAUCGGCCACAUUGGGACUGAGACACGGCCCAAACUCCUACGGGAGGCAGCAGUAGGGAAUCUUCGGCAAUGGACGAAAGUCUGACCGAGCAACGCCGCGUGAGUGAAGAAGGUUUUCGGAUCGUAAAACUCUGUUGUUAGAGAAGAACAAGGAUGAGAGUAACUGUUCAUCCCUUGACGGCAUCUAACCAGAAAGCCACGGCUAACUACGUGCCAGCAGCCGCGGUAAUACGUAGGUGGCAAGCGUUGUCCGGAUUUAUUGGGCGUAAAGCGAGCGCAGGCGGUUUCUUAAGUCUGAUGUGAAAGCCCCCGGCUCAACCGGGGAGGGUCAUUGGAAACUGGGAGACUUGAGUGCAGAAGAGGAGAGUGGAAUUCCAUGUGUAGCGGUGAAAUGCGUAGAUAUAUGGAGGAACACCAGUGGCGAAGGCGGCUCUCUGGUCUGUAACUGACGCUGAGGCUCGAAAGCGUGGGGAGCAAACAGGAUUAGAUACCCUGGUAGUCCACGCCGUAAACGAUGAGUGCUAAGUGUUGGAGGGUUUCCGCCCUUCAGUGCUGCAGCUAACGCAUUAAGCACUCCGCCUGGGGAGUACGACCGCAAGGUUGAAACUCAAAGGAAUUGACGGGGGCCCGCACAAGCGGUGGAGCAUGUGGUUUAAUUCGAAGCAACGCGAAGAACCUUACCAGGUCUUGACAUCCUUUGACCACUCUAGAGAUAGAGCUUCCCCUUCGGGGGCAAAGUGACAGGUGGUGCAUGGUUGUCGUCAGCUCGUGUCGUGAGAUGUUGGGUUAAGUCCCGCAACGAGCGCAACCUUUAUUGUUAGUUGCCAUCAUUCAGUUGGGCACUCUAGCAAGACUGCCGGUGACAAACCGGAGGAAGGUGGGGAUGACGUCAAAUCAUCAUGCCCCUUAUGACCUGGGCUACACACGUGUUACAAUGGGAAGUACAACGAGUUGUGAAGUCGCGAGGAUAAGCUAAUCUCUUAAAGCUUCUCUCAGUUCGGAUUGCAGGCUGCAACUCGCCUGCAUGAAGCCGGAAUCUCUAGUAAUCGCGGAUCAGCACGCCGCGGUGAAUACGUUCCCGGGCCUUGUACACACCGCCCGUCACACCACGAGAGUUUGUAACACCCGAAGUCGGUGAGGUAACCUUUUGGAGCCAGCCGCCUAAGGUGGGAUAGAUGA
rnacentral:rRNA from 1 species